rnacentral:rRNA from 1 species
CCGAAGAAGGACGCAGCGAACUGCGAUAAGCCUCGGGGAGCGGUAAGCACGCUUUGAUCCGGGGAUCUCCGAAUGGGGGAACCCACCAUCCGUAAUGGGAUGGUAUCCGUAUCUGAAUCCAUAGGGUACGAGAAGGCAGACCCGGUGAACUGAAACAUCUAAGUAGCCGGAGGAAGAGAAAACAAUAGUGAUUCCGUCAGUAGCGGCGAGCGAACGCGGAAGAGCCUAAACCGUCAGGUUUACCUGGCGGGGUUGUGGGGCGUCUCACACGGAGUUACAAAAGACGCGCGUAGGUGAACAGUUUGGGAAAGCUGACCACAGAGCGUGACAGUCGCGUAGCCUAAACGCGCGUCUCUCCGAGACCAACCCCGAGUAGUGCGGGACACGUGAAAUCCCGUAUGAAUCUGGCAGGACCAUCUGCUAAGGCUAAAUACUACCUAGCGACCGAUAGUGAACCAGUACCGUGAGGGAAAGGUGAAAAGCACCCCGGGAGGGGAGUGAAAUAGUACCUGAAACCGUGUGCUUACAAAUAGUCGGAGCUCGUUAAAAGAGUGACGGCGUGCCUUUUGUAGAAUGAACCGGCGAGUUACGGUAGCGUGCGAGGUUAAGUCGAAGAGACGGAGCCGCAGCGAAAGCGAGUCUGAAUAGGGCGCAAGUACGUUGCCGUAGACCCGAAACCGUGUGAUCUAGCCAUGUCCAGGGUGAAGGUAGGGUAACACCUACUGGAGGCCCGAACCCACGCACGUUGAAAAGUGCGGGGAUGAGGUGUGGCUAGCGGUGAAAUUCCAAUCGAACUCGGAGAUAGCUGGUUCUCCCCGAAAUAGCUUUAGGGCUAGCCUCGGAAUAAGAGUCUUGGAGGUAGAGCACUGAUUGGGCUAGGGGCCCUCAUCGGGUUACCGAACUCAGUCAAACUCCGAAUGCCAAUGACUUAUGUCCGGGAGUCAGACGGUGAGUGCUAAGAUCCAUCGUCAAGAGGGAAACAGCCCAGACCAUCAGCUAAGGUCCCCAAGUGUAUGUUAAGUGGGAAACGAUGUGGAGUUGCCCAGACAACCAGGAUGUUGGCUUAGAAGCAGCCACCAUUUAAAGAGUGCGUAAUAGCUCACUGGUCGAGUGACUCUGCG